GCACGAUGAAAGUGGAGCAAUGCAUGAGCUAAAGUGGCGCACGGGCUGAGUAACACGUGACUAACCUACCCCUCGAAUGGGGAAUAACCUAAAGAAAUCUGGGCUCAUACCGCAUAGCACUUAUCAGGUCAAACCACCAAUGCGCUUGAGGAGGGGGUCUCGGUCGAUUAGCAAUUUGGCGGGGUAAUGGCCCACCAAGGUCGACUGAUCGGUAUCCGGCAUGAGAGGGCGCACGGACACACUGGAGACUGAAACACGGCUCCAGACUCCUACAGGAGAGCACCAGUGGGGAAUUCAGCGCUAUGGGGGAAGACCAGGACGCAUCAACGCCGCGUGGAGGAUGAAAUCCCUUGGCGAUGUAAACUCCUUUCGAUCGGGACGAUUAUUACUGUACCGGAAGAAGAUACACCAGCUAACUUCGUG
rnacentral:rRNA from 1 species